rnacentral:rRNA from 1 species
GACGAACGCUGGCGGCAUGCCUAACACAUGCAAGUCGAGCGAGCAGAUCCCUUCGGGGUGAAGCUAGCGGCGGACGGGUGAGUAACACGUGGGCAACCUGCCUCAUAGAGGGGAAUAGCCUUCCGAAAGGAAGAUUAAUACCGCAUAAGAUUGUAGCUUCGCAUGAAGCAGCAAUUAAAGGAGCAAUCCGCUAUGAGAUGGGCCCGCGGCGCAGUAGCUAGUUGGUGAGGUAACGGCUCACCAAGGCGACGAUGCGUAGCCGACCUGGGAGGGUGAUCGGCCACAUUGGGACUGAGACACGGCCCAGACUCCUACGGGAGGCAGCAGUGGGGAAUAUUGCACAAUGGGGGAAACCCUGAUGCAGCAAUGCCGCGUGAGUGAUGACGGCCUUCGGGUUGUAAAGCUCUGUCUUCGGGGACGAUAAUGACGGUACCCGAGGAGGAAGCCACGGCUAACUACGUGCCAGCCGCCGCGGUAA